CCAAUUGUUACAAACUCGAUUUAAGUUAUGUCUUGCACGGUCGUUUGUAAAAGGAAAGUUAUUAUACGCAUGCGCAGUGGAAUUACAUUUCUUGAAGGUUUUUUAAAAUGGCUACGGUAACAAGAUUAUAGAAACUUAUCAUUGACAACGAUAUUCCAACCAUAUUCGCGUUUCAACAAAGAAACUUACCUGUUGUAAAGAAGGGAAAAGUAAACUAAAGCAGAAAGACUUUUUCUUGGAACUCGAUAUAAAUAUUUUUUGUGU